rnacentral:lncRNA from 1 species
AAAGGUUAAAAACUGUAUACCUUUUCUGUCAAUAAGAGAUGGUGUGAUUGAAAAUAACUUCAUUUUGAAGUGAUCAGGUCACGGUGCAAAACAUUGGAAGGAAUUCCCAGGUGUAGAUUUCACAUUGAAGGAUUGCCUGCAAUUGUACAUUUUUCUGUGUUUGAUUCAUUAAAUCUAAGUUACUUCGACUUUUUAAUCAUCUUCUUGUUAUCUAUGUGUGGCACAAUACAACAUGGGACUGUCAAACUUUUUGUAAAACAUAUUUGGAGCAUUUUACUGUCUAGUCAACAUAUUAUAGAGCAGAUUCAUUUGUUUUCAGGGAAAAAAUUUGAUAAAUUGCACAUUUUUCCAAUCUCUACAUUUUCAAUUUGAUACAAGUUUGAAACAGACCGUUCAAUUUUAUCUUACUCGUCUCGUGUUUUCUGAUUUAUUACUUCCUUGUACACUUGUAUUGCAGGUCCUUUGGUGUGCUAUUUGGAAACUGUCCCUACUGUUCGGACCCCAUUGCAAUCAAAGCAAGCACGUAGAAGUAAUGUGUCAGAAUGUCUGGUCCUCAACCUCGGCUGACCGUCAACCAGCCGUAUGCUGGUCUAGACGACUAGCUUUUAUGCCGCUUAACCAGUCCUUUGUGGCUGGUCGACCGACCUUUCAAUUGGGCAGCCUCCAUUUCCUCGUUUCUGGCUUUCCUCAGGUUUAUUUUUUCAGUUAGUUUUAUGAGCUAUUGCUCAGUAAAAAUGUAAAAUAAAUGAAAUUUUAAUUUUUUAAUUUUCAGUUCUCCUUAUCAAAAAUACCAUUACCCAUUAGCGUGUUGCAAAUUUGACAACAAAUGUUCUUUCAUGUAUGAAGAAAUUAACCGAAGCAUUGGAUGCUUUGUGUACUGAUUAUUCUUAAAAAUUGCC